GACGAACGCUGGCGGCGUGCUUAACACAUGCAAGUCGAACGGAAAGGCCCUGCUUUUGUGGGGUGCUCGAGUGGCGAACGGGUGAGUAACACGUGAGUAACCUGCCCUUGACUUUGGGAUAACUUCAGGAAACUGGGGCUAAUACCGGAUAGGAGCUCCUGCUGCAUGGUGGGGGUUGGAAAGUUUCGGCGGUUGGGGAUGGACUCGCGGCUUAUCAGCUUGUUGGUGGGGUAGUGGCUUACCAAGGCUUUGACGGGUAGCCGGCCUGAGAGGGUGACCGGCCACAAUGGGACUAAGGUACGGCCCAGACUCCUACGUGAGGCAGCAGUGGGGAAUAUGGCACAAUGGUCGGAAGCCUGAUGCAGCAACGCCGCGUGCGUGAUGACGGCCUUCUGGUUGUAAACCGCUUUCGCCUGUGACGAAGCGUGAGUGACGGUAAUGGGUAAAGAAGCACCGGCUAACUACGUG
rnacentral:rRNA from 1 species